rnacentral:lncRNA from 1 species
UGCAAUAUUAUCUUUUGUCGCCUGAUUCUGCCGCUAUUCUUAAUCCCUGUCCCUUCAGCGAAUCGGAUUCGUUGUGUCUGGCGCUGCAGACUCUGCCUCAUGGCCUUGAAGAGCAGUGCAGUUUUCUCGAUUUCUCGAUUUCUCGAUUAUGUUGAAUUGUUCUCCAAGGGCUGCCUGCCAGUGGCUGCCUGCACCUGCUGUCUCCCCUAGUAACACCGGUCUCUUGCUCUCUCCAUCCCCACUCUCACUGUGUUUCUUCAUUGCGAGUGCACACAUGGUGCUCAGAUGCUGGCGUAAGUACAUAAGUUCGAGUGGCUGUCCCUAAUUGGCACUGCUGCACAUUCCAUGUUUAUUAAUAAUUUUCCAGAACUUCUCUUUGCUCUGACCGCCAGGCUUGGAGGUCGCAGCCUUUGUCACUUAACCCUGUGUCGCCUCUAAAGAGUGGCACGGUCAGUGCAUUGGUAGUUUUAAUUAAUGUAAUGCUCCCCGUCACCGUGUUUCCUAAUUGAACUCAUUUGCCGCUGUUCCACAUAAUAAACGCCACUAUUUUGGACAAGCCAAGCCAAGUAUGGGGUUCUUUGCUUUAAUUACAGCUACAACCACCCGCACCACCCCGUCGGCACACACGCACUGGCCGAAAAAUGUCGUUGAUUAAUGGCUUAUGACAGAUAUUUGAGUUUGGGCCUGGACAGAGUAUUACGCAAGCGGAUUUGGAAUGUAAAUAUGCAUUACUCGUAUGAAAAAAGCAGUUGAACCCCCGUAUUAUGCUUUGCAAAUUCCAGUUUUAAUCUCCUUUGCUUACUGCCGAUCCUUAUUGAGGCUAAACAGCAUUAUUGCAAAUUAACUCAACUCCGUUCUGGGUGUAAACAAUGACUAAUUGAUAAGUGUAAUCGGAU